rnacentral:tRNA from 1 species
GGGGCUAUAGCUCAGCUGGGAUAGCGCUUGCAUGGCAUGCAAGAGGUCAGCGGUUCGAUCCCGCUUAGCUCCACCA